UUUCUACUAUCUCCGUCCGAAAAUACUUGUCAUCAAAAUGGAUAAAAAGAGAUGUAUCUAAAACUAAAAUAUGUCUAGAUACAUUUCCUUUUAUCCAUUUUGAUGACAAGUAUUUCCGGAUGGAGGGAGUAUUUG
rnacentral:pre_miRNA from 1 species